rnacentral:lncRNA from 1 species
CGGGAGGUAUUCAUUGGAGCUAAGUUCAGACGUCUAUGAUAAACUAUGGAGGUUUGACAUGGAAGGCUUACCUGCUGAUCUCAUCAAAAGGUGCAUUUUGCUAAUUAAAAUGAAAUAUAUUUACCACCAAAGUUUAAUUGCAAAGCUAAUUAGUUUUUGUUUCCAUUAAAAAUUUGCAAUAUAAGGGGGAUGGCUGAAGAAGAUGAGAACGCUAAACAUGGACUACGCCUGACGAUACCAGACUACCCGUUUGCGAAUGACGGUCUAAUAUUAUGGGAUGCAAUUAAAGAAUGGGUGACAGAAUAUGUGAACCACUAUUAUCCAGAUGCAGAACUGAUCAAGUCGGACGAGGAACUUCAAGGAUGGUGGAGCGAAGUGCAAAACGUAGGACAUGGAGACAAGAAAGAUGAACCUUGGUGGCCUGUCCUCGAGACACAAGAUGACUUAAUUAAUAUCGUCACGACGAUUGCGUGGGUCGCUUCAGGUCACCAUGCAGCUGUAAACUUUGGACAGUAUGGAUAUGGAGGAUACUUCCCUAACAGACCAACCACAACAAGGAUAAAAAUGCCGACAGAAGAACCAACAGAUGAAGAGCUAGAGGAGUUCUACGAGUCACCAGAAAAAGUAAUGCUUAAAACAUACCCAUCACAGAAGCAGGCGACUCUAGUGAUGGUCACUUUGGAUCUUUUAUCAACUCAUUCAGUUGAUGAAGAGUACAUUGGAGAGUAUCCGGAAUCAUCUUGGGCUGAUGAACCUAUGAUAAAUGCUGCUUUUGAACGUUUUAAAGGUAGGCUUCAAUAUCUAGAAGGAGUGAUAGAUGAGAGAAACGUGACACUUUCUCUAAAGAAUAGAGCUGGAGCUGGUGUGGUUAAGUAUGAGCUUUUGAAGCCUACUUCUGAGCAUGGUGUUACUGGAAUGGGUGUUCCCUACAGUAUUUCUAUUUGAUCUAUUUUGUUUUCCUUUCCCAAGUGUCUUUAUUUUUCUGUAUGUCUUCAAGAAAUAAAACAACUGAUCCAUUGUCUUUUCUAUAUAAAUCU